UUAGGUUUUCUUCAUUUUCUGAAAUUUUUCUCGGAAUUUUGUUGUUGAAUGUUGAUGGAGAUGAUAUGAAGAUGAAGAAGAUGAUAAG
rfam:Medicago truncatula strain A17 chromosome 7, whole genome shotgun sequence.